rnacentral:rRNA from 1 species
UACGGAGGGUGCAAGCGUUAUCCGGAUUCACUGGGUUUAAAGGGUGCGUAGGUGGGCAUGUAAGUCAGUGGUGAAAUCUCCGGGCUUAACCCGGAAACUGCCAUUGAUACUAUAUGUCUUGUAUACCAUGGAGGUGAGCGGAAUAUGUCAUGUAGCGGUGAAAUGCUUAGAUAUGACAUAGAACACCAAUUGCGAAGGCAGCUCACUACGCGGUUAUUGACACUGAGGCACGAAAGCGUGGGGAUCAAACAGG